UUUCCGUAGGUGAACCAGCGGAAGGAUCAUUAGAGAAUUGAAUAUGUUAGCGGACCUCUUCGGAGUCCCUAGCAUCGAAUCAUAUCCAUAACACCUGUGACCUGUAAGGCUGUCUUGAAAACGAAAGUGAUUCGCGCGCUUGCCCAUUUUAUACAAACAUUAAGUAUCAAACGUAGUCUUAUUAUAAUCUAAUAAAACUUUCAACAACGGAUCUCUUGGUUCUC
rnacentral:misc_RNA from 1 species